rnacentral:rRNA from 1 species
UACGUAGGGGCGAGCGUUGUCCGGAAUGAUUGGGCGUAAAGGGCGCGCAGGCGGUUUCGCAAGUCUGAUGUGAAAGGCACCGGCUCAACCGGUGAAGGCCAUUGGAAACUGCGGGGCUUGAGUCCGGGAGAGGAGAGUGGAAUUCCACGUGUAGCGGUGAAAUGCGCAGAGAUGUGGAGGAACACCAGUGGCGAAGGCGGCUCUCUGGCCCGGGACUGACGCUGAGGCGCGAAAGCGUGGAUAGCGAACAGGAUUAGAUA